rnacentral:rRNA from 1 species
UACGAGGGGGGCGAGCGUUGUUCGGAAUUAUUGGGCGUAAAGGGUGCGUAGGCGGUUCCGCAAGUCCUGUGUGAAAUCUUCGGGCUCAACUCGAAGUCUGCACGGGAAACUGCGGGGCUUGAGUGUGGGAGAGGUGAGUGGAAUUCCCGGUGUAGCGGUGAAAUGCGUAGAUAUCGUCUGGAACGCCAAAGGUGAAAACAGACUGCUGGGACUGUGCUGACGCUGAGACACGAAAGCCAGGGGAGCGAACGGG